CAAAGGAAAGUGCAAACACGUCAUGGCUGUUUUGUAUCAUUUGCUUAAGUAUGUUUUAUUUUAUUUCUUUAUUAUUGCACAUUUUGCACCAAGUUGGACUGUUUCACACUUUUUCAAAAGUGCGAAAAUGUGAAUGUGAAUACUUGGAGAGUAGAAGUUCGACACGGUGAAAUGGAGGCUACAAAUACGGGAGGUUUUUGUAGGUUCUAUCUUUAGCCGUAGUCGUUGGAUCCAGUCUAGAUACCGCGAUUUGUCCGUUUUCAGAGGGAAGGCAUGAAAAGAAAUUCCGGGGCGAUAUCUCUGCUUACAUCCGGGGACGACACAAAAAAUACGGCUUUUGAAUUUUGCAGAUUAUUCGGAGUCAGCUUCAAGCAAAUUUCGUCCGACUUGCAUGUUCUCCGGGCAAUUUGCGCAGCUUUUGACGUCCAUAUUUCACACGUUCUAAGGAAAAUAUUUUGAAAAAUAUUAGAGCACUGAUUGAAUAGAAGCCAGAUCUUUGUAUUUUAGGUAGAUUGACAGAGAGCGUGCUUCAACGGCUUUUUUUCACUACUAAAUGACAAUAAAUUUUGGUUCGGAGCAUCGAAACAGCUAAGAAAAACUAUUUUUCAACAAUUUCCACUAAUGGUAAGAUAAACACGGUACAAGUUUUCGAGAAAUCAGUAUAUUAAUUACAGAGAAAAUAUGCAUCGGUUUGUUUACAUAUUUUUCACUCACACGCGAAACUUUCAUAGGUGGCGACACCGUACCUUCGAUGACGCGAAUUGCACUGAAAUGUCCUGUGCAUUAUUCGGGAGAUCGAAGCUGAGUUUGACAGCCAGUUUAUAUGAAGCAAAGAUAAACAAAACGCAAAGCAAAAAGUGGUGGAUUUUAACAAGUAGUUUCAAAAAGAUAAUGAGUUUAAUUUUGAUAUAGGAGCUAUUGGGAGAAAACGCAACCUGCAAUGUAUUUGUGGGCUUGGCAGAUAUUUUUAAUUUCGCUACCGAAGGUAGUCGUUUGGUCGUCGAGGGCAAUUUUACAUACUUGGUGGAAGGAUAUGCAACGCGCGGAUAUGAAGAUUUCAGGCACGGUUGGUUAUUAACGGCUCAAUCUCCAUACUGAGCCAUUGAAGUAUUCGAGGUACCAAAUAUCAUCCGUUCUCAAUGAAAGGUUACAAUAUAUUUGGCCAAUAUUUAAUUUAUAAUCAGGAACGACUACACAAAUCGAGCGACAAAAGCAAUUUCCUUAUUGUAAGGCAAUUCGUCCAAUUUUUUAGGUUUACAUUUCAAAGGAUCUGGUGAAAAGAUUUACGAGUUCUUUUAGUGAUGAUUAUAUACAGCUCCGGAUUAUGUAACCUGAUCAUGCGAACAACAUUUGAAAAUGAUUUCAUUCAAUGUUUGAAAAUUUACAACUUCCCUUUGAUCAUGCUAAUCUCA